AUACUUACCUGGACGGGGUCAAUGGGUGAUCAUGAAGGCCCAUGGCCUAAGUUGGUGGCCUCCAUUGCACUUGGGAGGUGCACCCGCUUAAGGUCUGCCCAAGAGGCAGAGCCUACGUCAUAAUUUGUGGCAGUGGGGGCCUGCGUUCGCGCGGCCCCCUC
rfam:Citrus sinensis cultivar Ridge Pineapple sweet orange scaffold00022_contig_89, whole genome shotgun sequence.